UACGGAGGGGGCUAGCGUUGUUCGGAAUUACUGGGCGUAAAGCGCACGUAGGCGGCUUUGCAAGUUAGAGGUGAAAGCCCAGGGCUCAACCCUGGAAUUGCCUUUAAAACUGCAUCGCUAGAAUUGUGGAGAGGUAAGUGGAAUUCCGAGUGUAGAGGUGAAAUUCGUGGAUAUUCGGAAGAACACCAGUGGCGAAGGCGACUUACUGGACACAUAUUGACGCUGAGGUGCGAAAGCGUGGGGAGCAAACAGG
rnacentral:rRNA from 1 species